CCAGGCUCAGUCUCUGGGCUUUCAGUUUCACAAGCCAUAUUUCUUCCAGGAGCUGCUGCCUUCCAGGGCUCUGAUGACAGGAGAAGGAUUUUGAAAGCUGCAGCUUGAAGAGACAAGCUCCCUCUAGGCUGUUGUCAACCAAUAUACAGCAAGAGGGAUGGCGGGGAGGCUGAAGAAUCCAGCCCACCUCCCGGAUGGUGCGCCGUGAAGAAGGCUUCACAGAACACACAACACAUGUGCUGGAUUUUGAAGUUUGUGCAGUUUGGGGCCAGACAGAGGAGGGAAAGAUAUGACCCUGCAGCGGGUGAGCCCAGCUGGCUAAGGAAGGUGGCAGAUGUCAGCAAUGGGUGGCCCAUGGGGAGAUGAGCUUCCUCAGAG